rnacentral:rRNA from 1 species
GAUGAACGCUGGCGGCGUGCCUAAUACAUGCAAGUCGAGCGAACAGAUGAGGAGCUUGCUCCUCUGACGUUAGCGGCGGACGGGUGAGUAACACGUGGAUAACCUACCUCUAAGACUGGGAUAACUUCGGGAAACCGGAGCUAAUACCGGAUAAUACAUUGAACCGCAUGGUUCAGUAGUGAAAGACGGUUUUGCUGUCUCUUAUAGAUGGAUCCGCGCCGCAUUAGCUAGUUGGUAAGGUAACGGCUUACCAAGGCAACGAUGCGUAGCCGACCUGAGAGGGUGAUCAGCCACACUGGAACUGAGACACGGUCCAGACUCCUACGGGAGGCAGCAGUAGGGAAUCUUCCGCAAUGGGCGAAAGCCUGACGGAGCAACGCCGCGUGAGUGAUGAAGGUCUUCGGAUCGUAAAACUCUGUUAUUAGGGAAGAACAAAAGUGUAAGUAACUAUGCACGUCUUGACGGUACCUAAUCAGAAAGCCACGGCUAACUACGUG